ensembl:lncRNA novel transcript
GGGAGAGGGUGUUUCGGGAAGAUGGCCCAGCACACGCAGAGGCCUGCACACAGCUGACUCUGUGUGGCGAGUGUGAGACGAGAGUGGGAAAGACGAGGCUGCAGAGCAGUUCUACCAUCAGAAAACACAGUGAAGGCUACGUACUGAGCUUUACAUACAAGGAUGUUCACUGCAGCGUUGAAGAUAACAGCCAAUACUUGGAAACAACCCUAAUGUCCGAUAGGGAAAGCGAUGGGUAAUUGUCGCAAAUCCUUGUAAUGGAAUAUUGUGCAGCCAAUAAAAGCCAUGACUGUGAAGCUCCUUUAAUAGCACCGAAAUGGAGGAGCAGAAAUGACACCUGCCGUCCUAUGUGCUCCCCACUGUGGCAUCUCUGCAGAGACAGGGUCUCAGUCUAUCACCCAGGCUGGAGUACAGUGGUGUGAUCAUAGCUCACUGCAGCCUUGAACUUCUUGGUUCACGUUAUCCUCCUGCCUCAGCCUCCUGAGUAACUGGGACUACAGCAGCGGGGAUGGGCUGUGUGAAGCCAUCCUCCCUCCUCCCUCACCACAUGGGUCUGCCAACAGCCCAACCGAGAAGGAGUUUCUUGUCGGCAGGGGCUGAGUUCCAACCUGGGCUUCUCAGUCGUGUGCCCAUUCUCCCCAGAAACCACCAGGCCUGGGGCCAUCACCCGCCAUAAAGGAUAUGGAACAGAAACCUGCCCAGGGUCUAUCUUCCUGCCACGCCCGCAUCAGCCCAUCCAGCCCUGCUCCCCCCAUCAGCCCAUCCGGCUUCUGGAAGCAGCAGGGGGAGAAGUUUUUCCAGAGACAACUCUUCAUUAAAUCGCCUGUCCAAGAAUCUGCACCUGCACCUCCCUCAGCUGCCACCCGAAUCUCUGACCUCAACGAAUCCCUAUGCCAGGGGAAUGCAAGACUGAUUGGCCACAGGCCUGGGGCUCUGUACUCCCCUGAGCCUGGGUGGGGAGUGAUUCCUCAAGGACAAGGAGAAGGGAGAGGGCUGAGCAGUGGUCCCCAAGGGAAGUGGCACUGGGGGUGGGGCAGAACCAUCACGCGUUACCGAUGGUGGGGUCAGAAUCAGGGGGCCUGAGAUAUAUGCUAUUGGGUCCCACCCUAUAGCCCUGCCCACGUCCUUCAGCUGUGGAGAGCGUGGGCUGCCAGCUGGGCCCUUUUCUGGGGAAUCAUCCUCAGCUGAGGAAGCUGACUGCUGACUCACCUGAAAAAUGCCUGCGAGGUCUCACCUUUCCCUGGGAUGACCUGCAGCCAGUCACUGGCUGACACAUGGGUACAAAAGGUCUGGCUCAUUCGAGGAGGCAGGACAGUCAUGUGGUGCCACAGAGGACACUCCAGAGCUCCCCAUGGGCCCAGAUCAGGGCUAGACUAGACCAAGUCCAUGCCCUGGCCUGGCUUCUUGCCCACCCUCCGCUACUUCCCUCACUCCCCUUCUUCUGAGCGUGCGCCCUCUGCAAUCUCACAUGUCCCCGUAAGUCCCCAUCUCAGGCUCUGCUUCUAGGGAGCCUAACCUAUGCAGAAGGCCAAGCUGGCUCUCGCCUGCACACCUGCCCCAUGCAAGCUUCCCCUUGGAUCUUCUUCCCUGCAUGGGGAAAUUGGUCCUACCCCACCAGGCUCCAAGGUGUGCAGCCAGCAUCAUCUUGGAAUCCCUCUCAAACCCAGACUCCCACCAAGAACUCAAUUCUCCCCACAUCUGCUCCAGGUCCUUAGGAAACUCAACAUCCAAAUCCCUUUCAUCUCCAGGUUGAUUAACAGAAGAUUAUAAGCAAGCUUCAGAAGGAAGAAAAACCAGUGUCUCCCCAGGGCAGACACUGUCUGUUGACAAAUACCACCAAUAUAUAUUUUUCUCAUUUUUGUAUAGAUAUACAGAACUAAGCCGAUUAAUAUAUUCUUCUUUCCCUCUUAGGUCUAGGACUGCAAUGGGAAUCUUUCUGCCCCAUGGUGAACU